CGCCGCUCCUACGUAGUCGCUGUGAGUCAAGAUGGCGUUGGUGGGGCGGGUGUACCGCAUCUUCCUGCGCCGUUCGUCUGUCUUUGCCCUCAGCGUGUUCUGCGGGGUCGUGCUGUUCGAGCGAGCCUUCGACCAGGGCGCCGACGCGCUCUUCGAGCACCUCAACGAGGGGCAAGAAGUAUGACCUCUUCCUGGGAUCUCUUGAGUGUAUAUUAACAAACUUGACAGGAGCAGGAUGCUGGUUGCUAUGGUUCCCCUGCUGUACCUGUGGCAGAUGAAGAAGCUGUGGAAACAUAUCAAGCACAAGUAUGAAGAUGACAAACAGUAAAUUGCCAAGCACCGGAUCCAUGGUGGGGUAUUUGUGGUGUUCUGUGCAAGGCUUUCCAUCUCCUGAUGCCAGCUAUUGAAAAUGAACAAGGAUUUCUGACUGAAGCCAGAGCUGCAUCCACCACUUACAGCUAUGACCGAGAACUAAAUGGACUCAAGGAUUUUCUCUUUAUUGUGUUGAAACUUACCAUGGUAAAAUAAUAAAGUCACUGACUUGUACCCCUUAUGCUUGCAUGUUCAUCUGAAUUAACCUGGUGCUCUGUAUGUAAGGGAAGGUUUUCUCUUCAGAAAAUGGAGGGCUCUUAUUUAGUCUGCCACUAAGUGCAUUUUCAGUAUGGAAAGAAGAUACUUUUGGUGUAACCUGAAAGAUUUGAAAGCAUUUAUAUAGCUGAGGGCUGUUGUCAAUAUUUACUGCCUUUGCUUGGAAAAUUUUCCCAUUUUUGACUCAUAAAUGAAUGUUCAGACAGCAGCAAAAGCCUUAAAUAGGCAGACAUAAUAACUAGCCAAUAUGUCACAGCAGAAACAAUCUGCCCUUAAACGCUUGUUUUUAUUGAACUAUUAAAGGGCUGUUUAUUUGCAAAA